rnacentral:lncRNA from 1 species
CCAGCUUCUCCCAACCAACAGUUCUGCAAAAUUUCUCCCUUCAACCUCCGGCGACAAAUAGUCGGGCGAGUUUCUUUUCGACUUUCAACCGUCAAUCGACGUGAAUACUUCUCCGGCGACAACAACUUCGAGUUCUUCAUCCUCCCAUUUCCUUUUUCAUAGGUAAAAAAUUAUGAAGAAACAGAGGAACUUGAGACAACUACUCUUCUAGUAUUGAAAUGUGGACUGAAUAAAAUCCUAAUUUCUGG